GGACUUGCCCCAUUUUUUUUUCUAUGCCGGCGCGCAAUUACCCAAUCUAGACGGUAUGAGGUGGUGAAAAAAAAAUACUAGGGUGAUCCAUUGGAUCAUGUUUGAUGAGGUACUAGAAGUCGUUGAGAAACAACUGGAGGGCCAAGUCCUGGUGCCAGCAGCCGCGGUAAUUCCAGCUCCAGUGGUUUGAUUAACGUGUUGCGUUUAAAACGCUCGUAGUUGGAGCAUGCAGUGGUGGAGGUGUAAUCUGUGGUUGAUACCGAGCUAGUGUGUAUGUGUUGAUGUUUCAAUGUUUGUCUCGUACAAAUGUUGAGAGGUUGAUACAACUGGAGCGUGUGUUGAGCCAAGAUGUGAAUGCACUUGACUACUAGUUGCACGUGAAGUGAGACGUUGGCCUUGAAUGUGCCGAUGUGUCAGUUUGCGGAGUGUGCCUUGAAUAAAACAGAGUGCUUAAAGCAGGUGUUGACUGCCUGAAUGUGAUAGCAUGGAACGAACGAUCGUGUUGAUGCAUGUGUUGAUUAAGUAGUGAUGAGCCUAUGGUUUGUUGAGACUUGUGUGUGACACGUGCUGCACCCACCAAAAUAUGGUUGUUGGUUGAACAUAUGAGGUGAUGAUUAAGAGGAGCGGUUGGGGGCAUUGGUAUUUGGCCGCGAGAGGUGAAAUUCUUAGACCGGCCAAGGACUAACAAAUGCAAAGGCAGUUGUCUAGACCGUGUCCAUUGAUCAAGAACGAAAGUGGGAGGUUCGAAGACGAUCAGAUACCGUCAUAGUUCCCACUGUAAACUAUGCCGACCUGGGAUGAGUUUGCAGAUGUUGUGAUAAGCUGCAAAUUGGUCCCCCUGGGAAACCUGCAAGUUUUUCGGUUACGGGGAGAGUAUGGUCGCAAGGCUGAAACUUAAAGGAAUUGACGGAAGGGCACCACCAGGGGUGGAGCCUGCGGCUUAAUUUGACUCAACACGGGGAAACUUACCUGGUCCGGACAUCGAUAGGAUUAUCAGAUCGAUAGCUCUUAUAUGAUUCGAUGAGUGGUGGUGCAUGGCCUCUUGCCACGGAACCACCAAAAUGUUCAAAAUA
rnacentral:rRNA from 1 species